GUUGUGAUGAUACUCCCAAAAAGGUAAAGCUAAAACUGAAAUACUGUGUAAUACUGCACUUGUAAAUAUCCUUCUUAGCCAUCUAGAUAUAUCUAUUGCAUUCUCAUUUCUCUGUGAAUCUUUCCCUCUCCCUCUGUCAUAUAGCAUACCAUACAUUGAUGCAUCACAGCACUACAGCUAUUCAAAAAGAUGAGACUAAAUUCAUUUUUGAGUACUUGUAAUUAAUAACUUGUGCAAAAAAAAACACUUCAUUACAACAU
rnacentral:misc_RNA from 1 species